CCUACGGGCGGCAGCAGUGGGGAAUAUUGCACAAUGGUGGAAACCCUGAUGCAGCGACGCCGCGUGAGCGAUGAAGUAUUUCGGUAUGUAAAGCUCUAUCAGCAGGGAAGCAAAUGACGGUACCUGACUAAGAAGCACCGGCUAACUACGUGCCAGCAGCCGCGGUAAAACGUAGGGGGCAGGCGUUAUCCGGAUUUACUGGGGGUAAAGGGAGCGUCGACGGCAGCGCAAGUCUGAAGUGAAAUGCCGGGGCUUAACCCCGGAACUGCUUUGGAAACUGUGCAGCUAGAGUGCAGGAGAGGUAAGUGGAAUUCCUAGUGUAGCGGUGAAAUGCGUAGAUAUUAGGAGGAACACCAGUGGCGAAGGCGGCUUACUGGACUGUAACUGACGUUGAGGCUCGAAAGCGUGGGGAGCAAACAGGAUUAGAUACCCCAGUAGUC
rnacentral:rRNA from 1 species